GGGGAACCAGGGGACCAUCCCCUAGCAGGAGGGACAUGACCUGCAGGAGAGCGUUAGUGGCUGCUGAGGUUCACGGUCAUGAAUCUAGGCGAGACCCCGGGUGGUCAAGAGUCCUUCUCCCGCCCACGUCAGAGCUCAGGCAAGCGUCAUGGCCACUGCCUUCCACGCAGCUCCCAGGCUGAGGGCUUGGGAGAUGAGCAGAGGAAACGGAGCACAGGAGGAGACCAGGACGGGAACACACAAGCAGGCGACCCUGACAUGUGACCUCAACCAAGUGAGGAGGGGCAGUGGCUUCGAACCCAAGGGGACCAGGACAAACCCUCCAGCUGCACUGGCUUUUCAUUGACUGUAAAAAUCACCAGCUUUGGAGCCACACAGAUGGGCAAUGUGUCACACGCCUCCCAGUAGCUCCCUGGAGGGCACCCCAUCGUGUGGCCUGGGGGUCUGAGGAAUGUCUGCUGAGGAGGGACAAGGCUGCUGUCCAGGGACCUGACCACUUUUGUCAAAACCACCGACUUCACAGGGUUAUGCAGACGAGCGGCUUCUUUGGCGCCAAGAAGCUGAGGACUCCACCCUCGGAUCAUGCAGAUGCUGAGCGUGGGUCCCCGCAGAGCCGUGAAGAUUGAUCCUAGUACACAGACCACCAGGAGGUCACCGUCCCCACGCCUCAGAAGGCCCUGCACCCCUAACCCAUAAACAUCCCCUAACCCGCCCUGGGGAGGUGGACUGGGGGCUUGGGACCCCUUUUGCAUGCUUGACCACCUUUGGAACACAUGACUCUGCCAAAUUCACCACUUCAGUGAGAGGCACACCGCACAGCAGGCAGGAUGGGACUGGUUCAGUCACAGCUGCAGGGAAGACAGGGACAGGGACAGGGAGUGGGAUCAGUAAGUUGUGUGCAGGUUCUUGAAGGCUCAGACCGGCAGAGUCCUGAUACUGUGAUAGCCAAGCCAAAAUGACUUCAUUUUUUUUUUUGUGACUCCAUUCUGUAAAACAACCAGGCCAAGCAGAAGGGUCAUGAUAUGGGCAAGGUGUUCUUCUCCUUUUGCUCUAGAAACCUUUAAGAACACGGAACUACCUAACGGGGCAUUGUUUCUGUAACUAGGGUAACGGGGCUCUGUUUCUGUAACUGGGGUGACUAGGCUAACUGUGAUUGACUAAGCGUCCCUUCGCCUGACUGCACUGUCCCGCUUCUGUAACUUGGCUUGCUUGCAUUUGGACCCCCAAAUGUCCCUUUUGAGGUUUUCA
rnacentral:lncRNA from 1 species